UUAACGACCAUGAUAAGGAGUAGUAGAGGCACGAUCUUUUUCAGAGAGCUGUCAUUUGGUGCGAGACAGCAGAGAGACACCUUGAACUCGCCUUGGAGUUCUCACAGUGAAUCCUGACUGGAAUAGUUGUGAGCGGGACUUCCCGUUACAGAAGCAUAAGCGCAGAUAUAGAAUCUGAAACAGAGUGGUACCGCGGAUAGAUAUAAUCUCUUCGUCUCUAUA
rnacentral:ncRNA from 1 species